GAUGAACGCUGGCGGCGUGCCUAAUACAUGCAAGUCGAGCGAACGGACGAGAAGCUUGCUUCUCUGAUGUUAGCGGCGGACGGGUGAGUAACACGUGGAUAACCUACCUAUAAGACUGGGAUAACUUCGGGAAACCGGAGCUAAUACCGGAUGAUAUUUUGAACCGCAUGGUUCAAAAGUGAAAGACGGUCUUGCUGUCACUUAUAGAUGGAUCCGCGCUGCAUUAGCUAGUUGGUAAGGUAACGGCUUACCAAGGCAACGAUGCAUAUCCGACCUGAGAGGGUGAUCGGCCACACUGGAACUGAGACACGGUCCAGACUCCUACGGGAGGCAGCAGUAGGGAAUCUUCCGCAAUGGGCGAAAGCCUGACGGAGCAACGCCGCGUGUGUGAUGAAGGUCUUCGGAUCGUAAAACUCUGUUAUUAGGGAAGAACAUAUGUGUAAGUAACUGUGCACAUCUUGACGGUACCUAAUCAGAAAGCCACGGCUAACUACGUG
rnacentral:rRNA from 1 species